GGAUUUAUCCGUUGGUCGGGCUUUUGGGUCUGUACUGGCGUGAUGGAUUCCUACCUUUUGAAUAACCAGCAUGCCAUUAAUUUGGUGCGUUGGGGAAGCAGGACUGUUACCUUGAAAAAUUAGAGUGCUUAAAGCAGGCUAUUGCCUGAAUACAUUAGCAUGGAAUAAUGAAAUAGGACGCAUGGUUCUAUUUUGUUGGUUUCUAGGAUCACCGUAAUGAUUAAUAGGGAUAGUUGGGC
rnacentral:rRNA from 1 species